GCAGAUUUUUUUUUUACACACUGUUCAUAAAAGGAUGGUCAUAGUUGCACGAAUGUGCGAUUUCAUAUACCCAGCUGUAAUGGGUGUUGGUCCUGCUGUUGCCGCAGAAAGCUGCUGGUCUUCAAAUAGAUGAUGUUGACCUUUUCGAGAUUAAUGAGGUUUUUUUGCUUCUCAGUACGCAUACUGCUGCAAGAAGUUGGGACUUGAUCCUGCAAAAGUUAACGUUAACGGAGGUGGUUAUGGUGCACUGCUUUCAAGCCUCUUUCUAAAUAGAGAUUCAGAUGGGACAUUCAACAUUUUCACAAAUUUGUUUAGUAACGUGGAUUCCACGUGCAUGCUGACUAGUCUGUAUAUAAGUGCAAGUUUGUCCUAUAAUCAUCUUUUAAAUGAGGAGAUGAUCAGGGUACAUCUUAAAGCAAAGAGACAUGCUCAAUCGAAGAAAUUAUUAGGAUAAGGGAGGCUUAAGCUGAUGUUGAAUAUAUGGUGUGUUGGAGGAAGAGCAAGAGACACACGCUCUUGCUCAGGUGUUCAUCCUAAUCCUUUUAUAAUUUUUGAUUUCUCAUGUGCAAAAUAUUUUCUUAGAUGAAAUUGCUACUCCUUGUGGCAUUUAAAUCUGAUCAUGGUUGCCAAAGAAGGAUUCAAGCAGGCAGCGCCAAACUUCAGAGAUCAAACAUGCUGAGAAAUGUGAAAAAACAACAGCCAAAACUUUUUGACAGGAAAAUUCUGUAAUUCUGUAAAGUGGUAGGGUUCUGUAAUUCUGUAGGUUAGGUUGAAAUUGACAUCUCAUUACUGUAAUGCUGGAAUUUCAGUAUGUAAUAUCAAUUUUUUGGGUUAUUUAGAAAGACAAAUACAGCUGAUGGGUAUACGAUGUGGUUUUGUAUAAAGACAAUUUGCUUCUUUCUUCUUUAUCGGAAUGGUUAUAAUUCAUUUCUGCA